ACUCUCCGACCGUGCCCCUCGGCCGGCCCAACCACCGCGAGGCGGCGCCCGCCUCAGCCCGCGCGGCCGGUGCGGGCCGCUGCUGAGGCCGCCGGCCUUCGCCCCCCCCCCCGCGCCGCCGGGCAGUCCCCAGCGCCGUGCCCGGGUCAUGGCUGGGGGCCGCCGUCCCGGGACCGCCGCCUGACGUCUCCCCUCUCUCCCGGCGGGCUGGGCGGACUCUCCGCGGGGGGGGGGGGAGGUGUCGCCGCUGGAGCGACGGGCACCGGGCUGCCGUCCCUGCUCCCGCCCGAGGGAGCCUGGCUUUGCCCCUGCGCGCAGCCUGCGGUCCAGCGGUCUCUCUAAGAGCCUGAAAUGUAAGGUGGGAGACGGGAGCACAGGUGAGCCUGGCGCGGUGCUGCUAUCUUAGGGAAGAAAAUCAUGCCACGAAUUAUUGCCUUGCGCUCCAUUAUCCUUAGCUGUAUGUCCUGAAGGGAGGCUAUAAAGAAUUUUUUCCUGAGUAGAAGGAGCUGACAUGGCUAAAGACAGUCAUGGACUGCCUGACUCCUAAUUUGUUUCAGCCAGUGGACUGUGCUUCUGUCUCACCUGAGCUCUGUGAACCUCUGAGCUAUUGUUCAAUGCACCUUUGGACUACUACAGCUCUACUUCAGAGUAGAGCUGCUGAAAUUCCGCACCGAGAGCAAGUCAUAGACUGGAGUGAAGGAAGCAGGACCAGAUUACUUGCCUCAUGAAACUGUGAGAACCAAAGCAAUAUCUGGAGUAGAAACCACUUAAAAGAGUUGUGUCUUCCAGAGCAGAGUUCAACUCCCUGAUGACAGCUAGACUGUGAUGGCGAAAGAAAGAGAACGGGAACCUGCCUUGUUCUGCUGAGACUGCUAGGACAAAUUAGGAAGUCUGUUUAAAAAUUCUUGGCACUGCCUCUGCAAGACACUGGCUGAGCAUAAAGCCACAAAUAAAAGAGUACUGUAGCUGCCUAGGGAAAGAACAGGCUUUUUUAACUAAAGACUAAACCAGCUUUUAAGCUGUCUUGCCUAAAGACUGCAAGGCGGCAUAUGUCAUUGGUUGAGCUCUCAUCCCUCCUGCUUCAGACAGGAGUCUCCGUGUUUUUCUUCAGUACUAAACAUUGCUGUGGAUUUUGUUGUUAAUUGUCACUUCUGACUGGUAAAAUAAAGAGUUGGAGCAGGCCAAAGUGUUUGAGCACUGGA